rnacentral:rRNA from 1 species
UUCACGCCGCGUGGAGGAUGACGGCUUUCGGAUUGUAAACUCCUUUUGUAUGGGACGAUAAUGACGGUACCAUACGAAUAAGCCCCGGCUAACUCUGUGCCAGCAGCCGCGGUAAUACAGAGGGGGCAAGCGUUGUCCGGAGUUACUGGGCGUAAAGCGCACGCAGGCGGUUGUGCAAGUGGGAUGUGAAACCACCGUGCUUAACACGGUGACGCCAUGCCAAACUGCACGACUUGAGUGGUGGAGAGGUUGUUCGAAUUGCCGGUGUAGUGGUGAAAUGCGUAGAGAUCGGCAGGAAGACCAAGGGCGAAAGCAGACAACUGGCCACCAACUGACGCUCAGGUGCGAAAGCGUGGGGAGCGAACUGGAUUAAAUACCCAGGUAGUCCACGCUGUAAACGAUGUAUGCUCGGUAUUUGUGCUGUUACGGCAUGGGUACCUCAGGAAACCCGGUAAGCAUACCGCCUGGGAAGUACGAACGCAAGUUUAAAACUCAAAGGAAUUGACGGGGCCCCGCACAAGCAGCGGAGCGUGUGGUUUAAUUCGAUGCAACACGAAGAACCUUACCUAGGUUUGACAUAAGAUCUGCACGCCCCAGAAAUGGGGAAGCCUACGAGGGAGAUCAACAGGUGCUGCAUGGCUGUCGUCAGCUCGUGUCGUGAGAUGUCGGGUCAGUCCCGCAAGAGCGAGACCUAGGGUAGUACUGUGUCUAGCGGA